rnacentral:rRNA from 1 species
AUACGUAGGGGGCAAGCGUUGUCCGGAAUUACUGGGCGUAAAGAGCUCGUAGGCGGCUCAGCAAGUCGGUCGUGAAAGCCCGAGGCUCAACCUCGGAACUGCGGUCGAUACUGCUGUGGCUAGAGUCCGGUAGAGGAGAGUGGAAUUCCCGGUGUAGCGGUGGAAAGCGCAGAUAUCCGGAGGAACACCAGUGGCGAAGGCGGCUCUCUGGGCCGGUACUGACGCUGAGGAGCGAAAGCGUGGGGAGCAAACAGGAUUAGAAACCCUAGUAGUCC